rnacentral:rRNA from 1 species
AUUGAACGCUGGCGGCAUGCCUUACACAUGCCAGUCGAACGGCAGCACGGGUGCUUGCACCUGGUGGCGAGUGGCGAACGGGUGAGUAAUACAUCGGAACAUGUCCCGUAGUGGGGGAUAGCCCGGCGAAAGCCGGAUUAAUACCGCAUACGAUCUACGGAUGACAGCGGGGGACCUUCGGGCCUCGCGCUAUAGGGUUGGCCGAUGCCUGAUUAGCUAGUUGGUGGGGUAAAGGCCUACCAAGGCGACGAUCAGUAGCUGAUCUGAGAGGGCGACCAGCCACACUGGAACUGAGACACGGCCCAGACUCCUACGGGAGGCAGCAGUGGGGAAUGUUGGACAAUGGGCGAAAGCCUGAUCCAGCAAUGCCGCGUGUGUGAAGAAGGCCUUCGGGUUGUAAAGCACUUUUGUCCGGAAAGAAAUCCUUGGCCCUAAUACGGUCGGGGGAUGACGGUACCGGAAGAAUAAGCACCGGCUAACUACGUG